UAAUUAAGACUUGUUCAUCAGAUUUGCAAGAGUUGAUUGAUUUGGCUUGGAUUUGCGUUACUUGGUCCUAUCAACACUGAUGACACCACAAGUGCUGCUGAUAUGGAUUAGAAGAUCAAGAUUCAAGACUACUGCAUCGCUAGUUGCACUGCUAGUUGUUCUUUUUUCAGAUUUUCUCAUUUUCAAGACUUAGUGUGUGUGUAUGUGGCUACUGCCUACUGCUAAUUGUUGUUUUUUCGGAUUUCCCAGACUUUAGUGUGUGUGAUUGUGAGAUUGUCAGUUUGUGUGCUACACUGCUACUGCCUACUGCUACUCAGGUUUUCAAGACUUUGUUUGUUUGGUUUGCUAGUAAUAUAGCUACUUAUUAA